rnacentral:tRNA from 1 species
GCGCUUGUAGCUCAAUUGGAUAGAGCGCCUGACUUCGGAUCAGGAGGUUGAGGGUUCAAGUCCUUCCAGGCGCACCA